AUCACUUCUCAGCCUUUUGUCUAAGAUCAAGUGUGGUAUCUGUUCUUAUCAGUUUAAAGAACAGUAUUCGUAAGACUAGAGCUGAGCACAUGCCCUGACAGAGCCAAGAAGAUAUAUCACCCACCUCUAUCAUGUGAGAGCUUUAAUUUGCCAGCAUAUGACACAAUAUUUCAACUUAUUGGAUAGUUAAAAAAAUUGUCUUUA
rfam:Mus musculus chromosome 5, GRC primary reference assembly.